ensembl:lincRNA 9530052C20Rik RIKEN cDNA 9530052C20 gene
GAGCAGUCCCCACGGGCUGCCUUUUCCUCGAGCGCUACCCUGAACUCUGUGGUUGGGACUAGAAAACUACUGAGCUCAAAGCUGACUUAGCUCAUUUGUUGAUUUUUUUUUUUUCAACGUAAGUUUAAUGGAAAGAGAUGAGGCAGAAUCAGCGUCGGGAAGGAGCCAAAGCCGACUUUACUUGGGGAGGUAUAAAUGAGAACUAACUACUUAGUUGCAGAGUCUACUUAGUAGCGAGCCUUAACUAGCUACUUAGCAGCCUAUCGGAAUUAGCUACUUAGUAGCACAGUCUACUUAGUAACAUAGUGUAACUUGUGGGAAAAUGGACUUCUACAAGUAACACUUAUGUAUCACAAGUAUCAACAGAGACUCUUAAGCUUUUGUCUAAUCAAUGAGUGGACACUCUCGGUAAACGCUUCCCUUGGGGUUCUGAAGAUUAAGUACAUCUAAUAUAGCUGGUUCAAAGCAAUGUGGACAAAGUGGUGAUGGCUAUUUAGGCUGCCACUAGAAGGUGUGACCAAGAUUUAAGAUUAAUCUUCCCAUCUGUCGUAGUCACUGCUCUAGUGCUGGGAAGGGACAUCACAAUCAAGGCAACUCUUAGAACGGAAAGCAUUUAAUGGAGGACUUGCUUAUAGUUUCAUCAUGGCUGGGUGUAUUGCAGCAUGAAGGUACUGUGCUGGAGAAGUGGGUGAAACCUAUAUCCGGAUUCACAGGCAGAUCAAGAGACAAUGAGCCUGGAGUAGACUUUUGAAACCUCCAAGCCCAACCACAACAACACACCUCCAACAGAGGCACACUUCACCAACUUGAUACUAAGCAUGCAAAUAUAUAACCCAGCAGGGCCAUUUUCAUCCAAACUGCCACAUUACCUCAGAAGAUUUGGAUUUACAGUGGGUCUUCCCACUGCAAAUGAUUUAAUUAAGAAUACUUCACAGGUGUACUCAGCUACUUGGGGUUUUGUGAAUCCAGUUGUGGUUAAACUGACAACCAAGACUGGUAUCACAUGUGACCACUUACUCUGACACCCUUUGCUGCCAUCACUAUCCACCAUGAAGCAGUGCAGCCAAGGAGUGACCCUCAUUACAGAGGUGAAGUGAUUUGAACUUCAAGCCUUGAGAACUGUGAGCUUCAUAUUUUUUUGUUUGUUUAAUUAAGUGCUUUUCUUCAUAAAUAACCCAUUUAAAAGAAUUUUGUUGUAAUGAAAUGCUUGUGCAUUGGACUGCACAGAACAGUGGGAGUGGUCAGGCUGACUCUGACCUGGAAGGCCAGUAAGGGACUUUAGUCUUCUCUUCCUUGUUGUUCCACUAGUCAUUACAGCAUUCUUUGCAGUUGCGUAUUUGAAAGCAGGACAGGGAAUUCCAUGACCUACUUUCUGAGAA